rnacentral:rRNA from 1 species
CAAUAGCGUAUAUUUAAGUUGCUGCAGUUAAAAAGCUCGUAGUUGGAUUUCGGGUGGGAAUGGCCGGUCCGCCGUUUCGGUGUGCACUUGCUACGCCCACCUUGCUGCCGGGGACGUGCUCUUGAGUUCACGCUCGGGACACGGAGUCGGCGAGGUUACUUUGAGUAAAUUAGAGUGUUCAAAGCAGGCCUACGCUCUGAAUACAUUAGCAUGGAAUAACACGAUAGGACUCUGGUCUAUCUUGUUGGUCUGUAGGACCGGAGUAAUGAUUAAGAGGGACAGUCGGGGGCAUUCGUAUUUCAUUGUCAGAGGUGAAAUUCUUGGAUUUAUGAAAGACGAACUACUGCGAAAGCAUUUGCCAAGGAUGUUUUCAUUGA